rnacentral:rRNA from 1 species
CCUACGGGUGACAGCAGUGAGGAAUAUUUGUCAAUGGACGCAAGUCUGAACCAGCCAUGCCGCGUGCAGGAUUACGGCUCUAUGAGUUGUAAACUGCUUUUGUACGAGGGUAAAUCCCGAUACGUGUAUCGGGUUGGAAGUAUCGUACGAAUACGGAUCGGCUAACUCCGUGCCAGCAGCCGCGGUAAUACGGAGGAUCCGAGCGUUAUCCGGAUUUAUUGGGUUUAAAGGGUGCGUAGGCGGUUUGAUAAGUUAGAGGUGAAAUGUCGGGGCUCAACCCCGAAACUGCCUCUAAUACUGUUGGACUAGAGAAUAGUUGCGGUAGGCGGAAUGUAUGGUGUAGCGGUGAAAUGCUUAGAGAUCGUACAGAACACCGAUUGCGAAGGCAGCUUACCAAACUAUAUCUGACGUUGAGGCACGAAAGCGUGGGUAGCGAACAGGAUUAGAUACCCGAGUAGUC